UACAGAGGUCUCAAGCGUUGUUCGGAUUCAUUGGGCGUAAAGGGUGCGUAGGCGGCGCGGUAAGUCGGGUGUGAAAGCCCGGGGGCUCAACCCCCGGAGGGUCGGCUGAUACUGCAGGACUGGAGUACGGAAAGAGGUAGCUGGAAUUCCCCGGUGUAGCGGUGAAAUGCGCAGAUAUCGGGGAGGAACACCAAUGGCGAAGGCAGCUCGCUGGGGACGGUACUGACGCUGAGACGCGAAAAGCGUGGGGGAGCAAAACAG
rnacentral:rRNA from 1 species